UGGCCGCGGUAUUUUGACCGUGCGAAGGUAGCAUAAUCAUUAGUCUAUUAAAUAUAGUCUGGAAUGAAAGGUCUAACAAGGGGUAGCUUUCUUAAUUUUAUUUUUGAAUUUUAAUUGUCAGUUAGAAUGCUGAUGUGUUGCAGAUGGACGAGAAGACCCUAUAGAGCUUUAUAUAUAAAUUGGUUUUGUUAGUGUAAUUUACUAUUUAUUAUAUUUUGUUGGGGCGACAAUAAAUAGAAAACAUUUAUUAUAUUUAUCUAUUUUUAAGGUUAUUUGAUCCAUUAUUAUUGAUCAUAGACUAAGUUACCUUAGGGAUAACAGCGUAAUUUUAUCUUAGAGUUCUUAUCGAUGAUAAAGAUUGCGACCUCGAUGUUGGAUUAGAAUUCCUUUUUGACGCAGUAGUUUAAGAAGGCAGUCUGUUCGACUGUUAAAAUUCUACA
rnacentral:rRNA from 1 species